rnacentral:misc_RNA from 1 species
CAGAGUUGCAAAACUCCCACAAACCAUCGCGAAUCUUACCCUUACGGUUGCCUCGGCGCUGGCGGUCCGGAAGGCCCUCGGGCCCCCCGGAUCCUCGGGUCUCCCGCUCGCGGGAGGCUGCCCGCCGGAGUGCCGAAACCAAACUCUUGAUAUUUUAUGUCUCUCUGAGUAAACUUUUAAAUAAGUCA